rnacentral:rRNA from 1 species
CACGUAGGGUGCGAGCGUUGUCCGGAAUUAUUGGGCGUAAAGAGCUCGUAGGCGGUGUGUCGCGUCGGCCGUGAAAACCUGCAGCUUAACUGUGGGCUUGCGGUCGAUACGGGCAUCACUGGAGUUCGGCAGGGGAGACUGGAAUUCCUGGUGUAGCGGUGAAAUGCGCAGAUAUCAGAAGGAACAUCAGUGGCGAAAGCGACUUCCUGGACCAGAACUGACGAUCAGGCACGAAAGCGUGGGGAGCAAACAGG